UGUGUUGUCCUAGGUUUUCUUCAGGCACUUGAGCUGCUCUCCCACACAAUGGAAGGGUCCAUGUUUGGUCUUUCAGAUCAUAGAAUCAUUGAACCAUAGGUUCACCAAGCCUUUAGAGAAGAUAAUGAAAAACUGGAUAGAGUAUGGAAGAGAGACACAAAACAGCUCUGAGAACUAACAAAUCACUACAGCAUGAACAUAAUAGAUUCUUACUCUUUUGCUGUUUCAUGGGCUAA
rnacentral:lncRNA from 1 species